UGCAAAUGCUUUUUUGUGUGUUCCCUGCAAAUGCCUCGGCAAUUUCAGAUUACGCGCGCGAAUCAAUCAAAAUUUUCUCGGCAUCGUCAAUAUCGAUGCAUCAACGGAGGAACUUAAUUCAGUGCUAGUGUACAAACGUGGCCUCGAGAAUUGGGCGAACGUCAAUACAUGCAGUAAAGACUAUUUCUGGGCUGUUUCCUAUUAGAUUAAUCUUUUGGUUCACACGGUGAAGAUUAAGUGAACCCAAAUGGUUUAUCUGGUAGAAAACGACCCAAGAAUAUUUCGUGCAUGAGGUGGAGAUCAGUAUGCCAAGUGCAUUGGCAGGAGAGGAAAUGAAACAGCGUUUUCUUGAGGAAAUCAUGGUCAAAUUGGAAAGUCUACGCUGAGAAACUACGAAGAGAUACACAAAGGUGGAAUAAUUCAGUGUAAGCGUGCUUAAAUUAAAGGUGAGCACUCGCGGGGUAGCCAUUUUUGGGUGGACCGUGCUUGUUGGUAAGGUUUUGAUGAAGGCAAUGACUUCUCAACUCACAAUUAUGUUGAUGGGGCAUACGAGAUAACAUGUGUUUUGUUUGGUCCCACUCGAUUUCAUUGUAUCAUGUGAUGCAUUAUCAUCUUCAAUAUCUACUCAAUCUUGUUUUCGCUAGUCUCUCGUACCUUGUGUCACUGUCAAGUUCUCGUCUGGCCUCCUUCCUCAUUUAUCCGGAAUCUACAUGCCUAUUUGCAAACGAGGAACUUCAAACACCAUGUGCUAUAUACAUGGAGAAUUUCUUGCUUUCAAGCGGAUGUUGAUUAAUUAUGGUAGAAAUAUGAGUGUUCUUUGAGCCAUAUAACCUAAUCACUCAUGAUCCGCAGAUGUGAAACAACCGAACCAAUUUCUCCAUAUUCGAUCUAACCUCAUCCUCUCUGUUUGGGACUUUAAUAGGUCCAGGGUUAGCUAUUUUGUUAAGCCUCUAAUAGAAAUUAUGGUAGUUGAACUCAGAAUUUCUUAGAUUUCCAGUAUCUGUUCUCUUCAACAAAAAAUAGUUCUUUAAUAGGACUAUUCAUGUUGGGGUGUAAAUGUUGUAGUCCUAGGCCACGACUUAAAUAUUGCAAUUAGGGAAAGGCCCUCCCCUGCACAUGGCGCAUUUCAUUGUUAGUGGACAAGAGAUCUUUAUGUUGAUAUGAUUGCUAAUUGCCCAACAAGUUUAAUCAUCUUUGCACCGAUACCGAAAAGCACAUACAGAUGAAUCCUUGCUUCUUACUUUUCAGUGUGUGGUUAUUACUAUCUCAGCUUCUUGUACUGUAACUAGUUCAUGUACAUUGAAAUCACCGUAGAGUUAUCUACAAAGCAUUGGAUUUAUGCUAGUUUGGUUCCUAAUCAUUGACCAAAUUUGGUACUCUUCAAUCUACUCUCUUCAAGCUGCUCUCCCCUGUUUUUUGACUUGGUUAAAGCUGCUUGAUUUGUGUGGAGAGCUAUAGAAAAAUUGAUUUUACUAGAUCAUUAUUCACUUCCUGAAUUUGAACAAAUUUAAAUAGAUCUAAUGUUUACAGUAGUAGUUGUUCCAUGAGUAUUAUUUCCUUACUUCAGAAGCCCCUCACAUUAGCUUUACUGACUAAUCUCUUUCACUUUACAGCUUUCACUUUACAGCAUACUAAUUGGCCUCUUUCACUAAUGACUACAGUGCUUAGGCUUUAUUCCCCCUCAGAAUAAUUCAUAGUAGGAGACAGAUAGGUCCCUAGAACUUUACCCCCUAAGCAGUUCGGAAUCUAGCUUAUUAUGGUUGAGCAUGGUGGACCUUUCUAUCUGAGCUUGUCUCCAAAGCCUUUAGCCAAGUCUCUUUUUCUAAUAUCUUAUUAGGGUUUGUGAACAGGUUACAACAUCAAUUUAGAGACUUUUUCUUCCCAUAAGGAACAAAAAGGAGGGGACCAACCCAUAAAUAUAGAAAUAAAAGCUCAGGACAUGGAAAUCCCCAGGUGUCUUUUCUUUGAUUCCUACCAUAAAAUUUUCUUUCAUGUCAUGUGUCUCUCCACUGUACUAAUGCCACCUUGAAACCACCUCAUUCCACCUCUAUUCAUCUCACAGUGAGACCACCCAGACAUUUACCAACUAUCUAGCAUAGCUUUUCAAUUUUCAACACUCAAAAAUUACAGAGCUUUAGUUGUAGUAGAAGAUUGGAAGAGCUUAUCAUCCCAAUCACAGCAGAAGCUUCAAUUAGCUUAGUUACCGCAGAAAACCUUAUUAAACAGUUGUUUGGCUCAGUUGCAGAAUAUUAAUUCGAGUUGUCUGAAUAGUAGAGUUGCCGAAUACACUAUACUAAAGCACGCAUGAUAUUUUUUCUUUUUCCCGAAGUAUCGUAUUCUUGUAAUAGAAUUGAAUACGAAACUAAACAAAAUCUAAUUAUUUCUUCUAAAUGCCUCUGUUAAAGAAGCACUUUCAGAAGAAGCUUCAAUUAUUAGGGGGAGGAGAAAAAAAAGGGAGAGAGAGAGAGAGAGAGAGAGAGAGAUGAGCAUGCAGUAGGCAAAAAAGACCAUGAGAUUUUCUUUUGUUGCUCCAAAAUGUCACAAGUUUAGCAGUAAGUGGGUGUGCCAUUCUUCCUAGUUCAGUUACUGGCCCCCACCAUAUCUGACCCCUUUUCAACCUGAUAUUUCCUGAGACCCUCAAUAGUAGGGGUCCCAUCCAUUACAAGUGCCCAUCCCUUCAGACAGUAGAAUUUCUGAGAGAAAACAAAAUCAAGAAAAAGAAAAAGAGGAAAAAGAAA